rnacentral:rRNA from 1 species
UACAGAGGUCUCAAGCGUUGUUCGGAUUCAUUGGGCGUAAGGGUGCGUAGGUGGACUUUCAAGUCAGGGGUGAAAUCCCGGGGCUCAACCUCGGAACUGCCUUUGAUACUGUUAGUCUUGAGUCCGGAAGAGGUGGGUGGAAUUCCUAGUGUAGAGGUGAAAUUCGUAGAUAUUAGGAAGAACACCGGUGGCGAAGGCGGCCCACUGGUCCGGUACUGACACUGAGGUGCGAAAGCGUGGGGAGCAAGCAGG